rnacentral:rRNA from 1 species
AUCACUCGGCUCGUGGAUCGAUGAAGACCGCAGCUAAAUGCGCGUCAGAAUGUGAACUGCAGGACACAUGAACACCGACACGUUGAACGCAUAUUGCACAUCGUACAACAGUACGAUGUACACAUUUUUGAGUGCCUAUAUUUAUCCAUUCAACUAUACGCUCGCGCUGUGCUCGCACGGCGCGGCGUAUGCGUAGUGAUGUUUUCCCGCCUUCGGUGGUGGUAAAACAUUGAAGAUAGUCAGACGUGGGUGCGCCCCGCGGUUGAUGAAUACAUCCCACUCGAGCUUCCGCCCGCUCCUGCUGUUGUAUUCCAUCUCUCGUUGACAGGUAACAAUAUGCUGCCCAGUCAGUAGGCCUCAAAUAAUGUGUGACUACCCCCUAAAUUUAAGCAU